rnacentral:rRNA from 1 species
CCGUGGUAAUUCUAGAGCUAAUACAUGCUAAAAAUCCCGACUUCGGAAGGGAUGUAUUUAUUAGAUUAAAAACCAAUGCCCUUCGGGGCUCACUGGUGAUUCAUGAUAACUCCUCGAAUCGCAUGGCCUUGUGCCGGCGAUGGUUCAUUCAAAUUUCUUCCCUAUCAACUUUCGAUGUUUGGGUAUUGGCCAAACAUGGUUGCAACGGGUAACGGAGGGUUAGGGCUCGACCCCGGAGAAGGAGCCUGAGAAACGGCUACUACAUCCAAGGAAGGCAGCAGGCGCGCAAAUUACCCAAUCCCGACACGGGGAGGUAGUGACAAUAAAUACUGAUACAGGGCUCUUUUGGGUCUUGUAAUUGGAAUGAGUACAAUUUAAAUCCCUUAACGAGGAACAAUUGGAGGGCAAGUCUGGUGCCAGCAGCCGCGGUAAUUCCAGCUCCAAUAGCGUAUAUUAAAGUUGUUGUGGUUAAAAAGCUCGUAGUUGAACCUUGGGCCUGGCUGGCCGGUCCGCCUCACCGCGUGUACUGGUCCGGCCGGGCCUUUCCCUCUGUGGAACCCCAUGCCCUUCUCUGGGUGUGGCGGGGAAACAGGACUUUUACUGUGAAAAAAUUAGAGUGCUCCAGGCAGGCCUAUGCUCGAAUACAUUAGCAUGGAAUAAUAGAAUAGGACGUGUGGUUCUAUUUUGUUGGUUUCUAGGACCGCCGUAAUGAUUAAUAGGGACAGUCGGGGGCAUCAGUAUUCAAUUGUCAGAGGUGAAAUUCUUGGAUUUAUUGAAGACUAACUACUGCGAAAGCAUUUGCCAAGGAUGUUUUCAUUAAUCAGGAACGAAAGUUAGGGGAUCGAAGACGAUCAGAUACCGUCGUAGUCUUAACCAUAAACUAUGCCGACUAGGGAUCGGACGG